CUUUUAUUUUUGACUUCAAAGGCAUUUGUUCUCACUCACGAUCAUGAAGAUUUUAUUCUUGUCAUUUAUCAUGUUAUUAAUUGCAAUGGUAUCGGGUAGCUGGAAAUAUGCUUUCAAACAAAAGGCUUACCUGGUUAGAAAUACAGCCGAACAAGUGCAGAAAAAUUUGACGGCACUGAGGGGGAUACUGCAAUUCCAGGCGCGGAUUAAAUCGAAACUGGACUUGAAUUGCAAAUAAAUGGAGUAACGCCCACAUCUAAGAAGAUUUGCACAAACUUACAAAACUGUUGUGGACACAAUAAAACAAGUUUUAAUAUCACAAAUAUAUUUAUUGUAUUAUUGUA